rnacentral:rRNA from 1 species
CAAUAGCGUAUAUUUAAGUUGCUGCAGUUAAAAAGCUCGUAGUUGGAUUUCGGGUGGGAAUGGCCGGUCCGCCGUUUCGGUGUGCACUUGCUACGCCCACCUUGCUGCCGGGGACGUGCUCUUGAGUUCACGCUCGGGACACGGAGUCGGCGAGGUUACUUUGAGUAAAUUAGAGUGUUCAAAGCAGGCCUACGCUCUGAAUACAUUAGCAUGGAAUAACACGAUAGGACUCUGGCCUAUCUUGUUGGUCUGUAGGACCGGAGUAAUGAUUAAGAGGGACAGUCGGGGGCACUCGUAUUUCAUUGUCAGAGGUGAAAUUCUUGGAUUUAUGAAAGACGAACUACUGCGAAAGCAUUUGCCAAGGAUGUUUUCGUUAA